AAAUUGAAGAGUUUGAUCAUGGCUCAGAUUGAACGCUGGCGGCAGGCCUAACACAUGCAAGUCGAGCGGUAGCACAGAGAGCUUGCUCUCGGGUGACGAGCGGCGGACGGGUGAGUAAUGUCUGGGAAACUGCCUGAUGGAGGGGGAUAACUACUGGAAACGGUAGCUAAUACCGCAUAACGUCGCAAGACCAAAGUGGGGGACCUUCGGGCCUCAUGCCAUCAGAUGUGCCCAGAUGGGAUUAGCUAGUAGGUGGGGUAACGGCUCACCUAGGCGACGAUCCCUAGCUGGUCUGAGAGGAUGACCAGCCACACUGGAACUGAGAGACGGUCCAGACUCCUACGGGAGGCAGCAGUGGGGAAUAUUGCACAAUGGGCGCAAGCCUGAUGCAGCCAUGCCGCGUGUGUGAAGAAGGCCUUCGGGUUGUAAAGCACUUUCAGCGGGGAGGAAGGCGAUAAGGUUAAUAACCUUGUCGAUUGACGUUACCCGCAGAAGAAGCACCGGCUAACUCCGUGCCAGCAGCCGCGGUAAUACGGAGGGUGCAAGCGUUAAUCGGAAUUACUGGGCGUAAAGCGCACGCAGGCGGUCUGUCAAGUCGGAUGUGAAAUCCCCGGGCUCAACCUGGGAACUGCAUUCGAAACUGGCAGGCUAGAGUCUUGUAGAGGGGGGUAGAAUUCCAGGUGUAGCGGUGAAAUGCGUAGAGAUCUGGAGGAAUACCGGUGGCGAAGGCGGCCCCCUGGACAAAGACUGACGCUCAGGUGCGAAAGCGUGGGGAGCAAACAGGAUUAGAUACCCUGGUAGUCCACGCCGUAAACGAUGUCGAUUUGGAGGUUGUGCCCUUGAGGCGUGGCUUCCGGAGCUAACGCGUUAAAUCGACCGCCUGGGGAGUACGGCCGCAAGGUUAAAACUCAAAUGAAUUGACGGGGGCCCGCACAAGCGGUGGAGCAUGUGGUUUAAUUCGAUGCAACGCGAAGAACCUUACCUGGUCUUGACAUCCACAGAACUUUCCAGAGAUGGAUUGGUGCCUUCGGGAACUGUGAGACAGGUGCUGCAUGGCUGUCGUCAGCUCGUGUUGUGAAAUGUUGGGUUAAGUCCCGCAACGAGCGCAACCCUUAUCCUUUGUUGCCAGCGGUUAGGCCGGGAACUCAAAGGAGACUGCCAGUGAUAAACUGGAGGAAGGUGGGGAUGACGUCAAGUCAUCAUGGCCCUUACGACCAGGGCUACACACGUGCUACAAUGGCAUAUACAAAGAGAAGCGACCUCGCGAGAGCAAGCGGACCUCAUAAAGUAUGUCGUAGUCCGGAUUGGAGUCUGCAACUCGACUCCAUGAAGUCGGAAUCGCUAGUAAUCGUAGAUCAGAAUGCUACGGUGAAUACGUUCCCGGGCCUUGUACACACCGCCCGUCACACCAUGGGAGUGGGUUGCAAAAGAAGUAGGUAGCUUAACCUUCGGGAGGGCGCUUACCACUUUGUGAUUCAUGACUGGGGUGAAGUCGUAACAAGGUAACCGUAGGGGAACCUGCGGUUGGAUCACCUCCUUACCUUAAAGAA
rnacentral:rRNA from 1 species